UACAGAGGUCCCAAGCGUUACUGAGAAUCACUGGGUUUAAAGGGCGCGUAGGUGGUCCGUUAAGUUCGUUGUGAAAUCUCUGGGCUCAACCCAGGAACUGCUUCGAAUACUGGCGGUCUUGAGGCUGGUAGGGGUCACUGGAACUGACGGUGGAGCGGUGAAAUGCGUAGAUAUCGGGAGGAACACCUGUGGCGAAAGCGGCUCACUGGACCACAACUGACGCUGAGGCGCGAAAGCUAGGGGAGCAAACAGG
rnacentral:rRNA from 1 species